rnacentral:rRNA from 1 species
GACGAACGCUGGCGGCGUGCUUAACACAUGCAAGUCGAACGAAGAGCGAUGGAAGCUUGCUUCUAUCAAUCUUAGUGGCGAACGGGUGAGUAACGCGUAAUCAACCUGCCCUUCAGAGGGGGACAACAGUUGGAAACGACUGCUAAUACCGCAUACGAUCUAACCUCGGCAUCGAGGAUAGAUGAAAGGUGGCCUCUACAUGUAAGCUAUCACUGAAGGAGGGGAUUGCGUCUGAUUAGCUAGUUGGAGGGGUAACGGCCCACCAAGGCGAUGAUCAGUAGCCGGUCUGAGAGGAUGAACGGCCACAUUGGGACUGAGACACGGCCCAGACUCCUACGGGAGGCAGCAGUGGGGAAUCUUCCGCAAUGGACGAAAGUCUGACGGAGCAACGCCGCGUGAGUGAUGACGGCCUUCGGGUUGUAAAGCUCUGUUAAUCGGGACGAAAGGCCUUCUUGCGAAUAGGAGAAGGAUGACGGUACCGGAAUGAAAGCCAGGGCUUCCGG